CAGAGCUGUGCCUAGAGUUGGUUAAUGUGUUACCAAAGAUGUUGGAUUCCAGAGUGGAGCAAGCUACUUUAUGAGAAAAAUGAUGGAAAAAUAACAGAAAGGUGCUGGGUUAGGUACAGAGCAUUCGAAGCGGAACAAAACCCUCAGUGUCGGAGUCCUCAUGAGUAUUCAGUCAUGGAGUUCAGCAGGAGAGGCAGAUACUAAUCAAAUGGUGGUGUUUUGCCAUGCAGCUAUAACUGUUAAAUGUAAGGAGAAGAAGCCUGUCCUAGAUUUGCUGCAGAGAAGAAUCCGGAAGGCAAAGGAAGUGAUAUUUGAGAUGAGAGUUGAAACCACACAAGGAAACUGCUCAAAGAACUCAUGCCAGUGGGACUUACAGCUUCCUUGAUCGGGCUCAGCAUUCAACAUCUCUGGGGCACAAAAUGGACAAAGCCCCUACCUGUCCAGAGAGUAUAAUCUCCACCCAUGCUGACAAAUAUGGCUGCCAUGAGCCUCAGGUGGCUAUUUACAUUUACACGUAAAUGAAUUUAAAUGAAAUUAAAUUAAAAAUUCAGUACCACAUUUCAAGUGGUUACUAGUCA